rnacentral:rRNA from 1 species
GACGAACGCUGGCGGCGUGCUUAACACAUGCAAGUCGAACGGAAAGGCCCUGCUUUUGUGGGGUGCUCGAGUGGCGAACGGGUGAGUAACACGUGAGUAACCUGCCCUUGACUUUGGGAUAACUUCAGGAAACUGGGGCUAAUACCGGAUAGGAGCUCCUGCUGCAUGGUGGGGGUUGGAAAGUUUCGGCGGUUGGGGAUGGACACGCGGCUUAUCAGCUUGUUGGUGGGGUAGUGGCUUACCAAGGCUUUGACGGGUAGCCGGCCUGGGAGGGUGACCGGCCACAUUGGGACUGCGGUACGGCCCAGUCUCCUACGGGAGGCAGCAGUGGGGAAUAUUGCACAAUGGGCGGAAGCCUGAUGCAGCAACGCCGCGUGCGGGAUGACGGCCUUCGGGUUGUAAACCGCUUUCGCCUGUGACGAAGCGUGAGUGACGGUAAUGGGUAAAGAAGCACCGGCUAACUACGUG